UGUCUGUGAUAUUUAAAAGAAUGUAGCUCCACCCCCCCCCCCCCCCAACUGGGAUACUGUUGUUUAUGGGGCCUUCAUUGGCACAAUACUAUUUAAGGGAGAACUUGGGCCCUGUUGGUUAUUCAUCUGGCACUGUUUAGAAGGCACUGUGUCCCUAGUAAUAAGGGCAUACUUCCUAGGCCACUGCUUAUGGUAACACAGAGAUGUUGUGGAUGGUGUUCAGGGAUUUGGAUACUCUUUAGGGGUAUUUUAACAUUGAAAUAUUUAGGUACUUGGAUUACCUAGAUGUGUUUAGAUGUAUCUGCACUGUUUAGAUGUGUUAAAGCGGUUCUCCACCAUAAGGGGAUUUUAGUAUGUACCUGGCAGACAGUAAUGGACAUGCUUAGGAAGGAUCUGCGCUUUUCUUGGGGCUAAAUGGCUAUGUUGUGAGAUUACCAUAAUACUGUGGCUAGCUUUUAGUGAACUGGUAUUUCCUGUUUGAAUUUUCUUUUUUUUUACUACAAAUCCCAUAAUUUCAUUUUCCUUCCUCCCACACAUCAGCCAGCCUACGCAUUGAAACAUAAAUGAGCUGCAUCCAUUCAAAAGACCUGUGGUUUUCAAUCAGGGUGCCUACAGCUGUUGCAUUACUUUCAGAUUGAUCUCUCCCCCACCAAGCGAUCGCUCCACCCAUUGAAGCAGACAGGCUCCUUGUCAUUAGCUGACUAGUGAGGUCAGGUCUCGGCCACUUUGCAACCUGGGAAAAACAGCCAUUUUGUAUGCUGUUACAAAUAAAUAUUGGGGUGAAAAUCACAGAAGAAUUGUGAGAAAACCAUCACACACAGAUACAGAACACGGGAGACAAUGCUACAGCUACUGGACGCAAGCCUUUUGGCAUCACUUACCUGAAGAUGACUCACAAUACAGUAGGGCUGAGCUUUGUGCAAUCCACAGGUUGACGUGGCCUUCAGUUUAUCUUCCCGGCCCACAAGAAGAUCCCCAGUGGCAGGAUAGCAGCUGCCUUG